GACGAACGCUGGCGGCGUGCUUAACACAUGCAAGUCGAACGGAAAGGCCCUGCUUUUGUGGGGUGCUCGAGUGGCGAACGGGUGAGUAACACGUGAGUAACCUGCCCUUGACUUUGGGAUAACUUCAGGAAACUGGGGCUAAUACCGGAUAGGAGCUCCUGCUGCAUGGUGGGGGUUGGAAAGUUUCGGCGGUUGGGGAUGGACUCGCGGCUUAUCAGCUUGUUGGUGGGGUAGUGGCUUACCAAGGCUUUGACGGGUAGCCGGCCUGAGAGGGUGACCGGCGACAUUGGGACUGACAGAAGGCCCAAAUUGCGAAGGGAGGCAGCAGGGGGGAAUAUUGCACAAUGGGCGGAGCCCUGAUGAAGCAACGCCGCGUGCGGGAUGACGGCGUUCGGGUUGAAAACCACUUGCGCAUGUGACGAAGCGUGUGUGAAGGGAAUGGGUAAAGAAGCCCCGGCUAACUAAGGG
rnacentral:rRNA from 1 species